AUGCGGGCAUUUUUCCGGUGCUGUUGGCGCCUUUUCCCUCGGGGCCAAGUUACCGGGCGCAAAAGGGUUCGGAAAAAGUUUGCCUGGUUCGGGGAAAAGGCCGUGGAGAGAGACGGCGACCGCUCGUUGCCCCUCCCGUCGGAGACGCGCACAUGUGGGUCAGGAGGCCAUCAUGUCGUCCGGUUAUCGGCGACGGGACGGUUUGGGCCGGGCGAAUUCCCAAAAGGUUUGGCUGCUGGCCGAAAAGGGUCCGCGUUAAUUGGGACGGCCGCCGCGACCGCGACCGCGACGCCGAGUGCUGCGCGGAGUUCGGUCAUGCCUGAGGUCACAGCUGUGUGGAACGAUAUGGGGGUGGAUCCAAAGAUAAAUAAAGAGUCAAUUAGACCGGUGAUGUUAGAACUUGGUGCAAAAAUAAUCACUUUGGAGGAAAGCUUCAAAAUGCUGCAAGAAAUGGAAAUUGGAGAUGAGGAAGAGGAGGAUAACGUCAGCAUGCUUGAUGAUCAGGUUGGGGAUGCAAAUGAUAGUGAAAACCUAGAGGAGGUAGUGUUCAGUCCAAGUCUCUCAUCAAUUACUACUCAAGCCCCACCCAUGCAGCAAAAAUGGGCCCAAUCCAAGCCCAAAGAAAGAGCUCUAGGAUUGACAUAG
rnacentral:rRNA from 1 species